CGUUAGCUCAGAUGGUAGAGCAUUUGACUUUUAAUCAAAGGGUCUGGAGUUCGAAUCUCCAACG
rnacentral:tRNA from 1 species